GGAGAGAUGUCCGAGAGGCCGAUGGAGCACGCCUGGAAAGCGUGUAUACGGUUAAACGUAUCGAGGGUUCGAAUCCCUCUCUCUCCGCCA
rnacentral:tRNA from 1 species